rfam:Glycine soja cultivar W05 scaffold4243_1, whole genome shotgun sequence.
GGCGCCUUUGAAACCAUCUCCUAGGUUUCUUCGGAAGGACUUCGGUCCGUGUACUUCUAGCACAAGAUGCUAGUUUUAGAGUACGGGUGCCCCCCCCACUCUGUGGGGGGCCUCCAAAAGGAG